AUUGAACGCUGGCGGCAUGCUUUACACAUGCAAGUCGGACGGUAACAGCACUUCGGUGGCUGACGAGUGGCGAACGGGUGAGUAAUACAUCGGAACGUGCCUAGUAGUGGGGGAUAACUACUCGAAAGAGUAGCUAAUACCGCAUGAGAUCUAAGGAUGAAAGCAGGGGACCUUCGGGCCUUGCGCUACUAGAGCGGCUGAUGGCAGAUUAGGUAGUUGGUGGGAUAAAAGCUUACCAAGCCGACGAUCUGUAGCUGGUCUGAGAGGACGACCAGCCACACUGGGAAUGAGCACCGGCCCAGCCUCCUACGGGAGGCAGCAGGGGGAAUUUUGGACAAUGGGCGAAAGCCUGAUCCAGCAAUGCCGCGUGCAGGAUGAAGGCCUUCGGGUUGUAAACUGCUUUUGUACGGAACGAAAAGCCCUCUUCUAAUACAGGAGGGUCAUGACGGUACCGUAAGAAUAAGCACCGGCUAACUACGUG
rnacentral:rRNA from 1 species